CUACGUAGGGGGCGAGCGUUGUCCGGAAUGAUUGGGCGUAAAGGGCGCGUAGGCGGCCCGGUAAGUCUGGAGUGAAAGUCCUGUUUUUAAGAUGGGAAUUGCUUUGGAUACUGUCGGGCUUGAGUGCAGGAGAGGUAAGUGGAAUUCCCAGUGUAGCGGUGAAAAGCGUAGAGAUUGGGAGGAACACCAGUGGCGAAGGCGACUUACUGGACUGUAACUGACGCUGAGGCGCGAAAGUGUGGGGAGCAAACAGGAUUAGAUACUCUGGUAGUCCACACUGUAAACGAUGAAUGCUAGGUGUAGGGGGUAUCGACCCCUUCUGUGCCGCAGUCAACACAAUAAGCAUUCCGCCUGGGGAGUACGGCCGCGAGGUUGAAACUCAAAUGAAUGGACGGGG
rnacentral:rRNA from 1 species